GACGAACGCUGGCGGCGUGCCUAAUACAUGCAAGUAGAACGCACAGUUUAUACCGUAGCUUGCUACACCAUAAACUGUGAGUUGCGAACGGGUGAGUAACGCGUAGGUAACCUGCCUGGUAGCGGGGGAUAACUAUUGGAAACGAUAGCUAAUACCGCAUAAUAUUGAUUAUUGCAUGAUAAUUGAUUGAAAGAUGCUAUUGCAUCACUACCAGAUGGACCUGCGUUGUAUUAGCUAGUAGGUGAGGUAACGGCUCACCUAGGCGACGAUACAUAGCCGACCUGAGAGGGUGAUCGGCCACACUGGGACUGAGACACGGCCCAGACUCCUACGGGAGGCAGCAGUAGGGAAUCUUCGGCAAUGGACGAAAGUCUGACCGAGCAACGCCGCGUGAGUGAAGAAGGGUGUCGGAUCGUAAAGCUCCGUUGUAAGAGAAGAACGGGUGUGAGAGUGGAAAGUUCACACUGUGACGGUAGCUUACCAGAAAGGGACGGCUAACUACGUG
rnacentral:rRNA from 1 species